rnacentral:tRNA from 4 species
GGGCCUGUAGCUUAGUUUGGCAUAGCGGCGGACUCUUAAUCCGCAGGCCAGGGGUUCAAAUCCCUUCAGGCCCG